GGGCCCGCACAAGCGGUGGAGUAUGUGGUUUAAUUCGAUGCAACGCGAAGAACCUUACCAGGGUUUGACAUCCUGCGAAUUUCUGGGAAACCGGAAAGUGCCUUCGGGAGCGCAGUGACAGGUGGUGCAUGGCUGUCGUCAGCUCGUGUCGUGAGAUGUUGGGUUAAGUCCUGCAACGAGCGCAACCCCCUAUUCUUAGUUGCCAGCGGUUCGGCCGGGGACUCUAAGAAGACUGCCAGCGCAAGCUGAGAGGAAAGGUGGGGAUGACGUCAAAUCAUCACGGGCCCUUACGUCCUGGGCUACACACGUGCUACAAUGGUACAGACAGAGGGCAGCCACCUGGCGACAGGGAGCGAAUCCUUAAACUGUAUCUC
rnacentral:rRNA from 1 species